rnacentral:rRNA from 1 species
GAUGAACGCUGGCGGCGUGCCUAAUACAUGCAAGUCGAGCGAGCGGACGAGAAGCUUGCUUCUCUGAUGUUAGCGGCGGACGGGUGAGUAACACGUGGAUAACCUACCUAUAAGACUGGGAUAACUUCGGGAAACCGGAGCUAAUACCGGAUAAUAUUUUGAACCGCAUGGUUCAAAAGUGAAAGACGGUCUUGAUGUCACUUAUAGAUGGAUCCGCGCUGCAUUAGCUAGUUGGUAAGGUAACGGCUUACCAAGGCAACGAUGCAUAGCCGACCUGAGAGGGUGAUCGGCCACACUGGAACUGAGACACGGUCCAGACUCCUACGGGAGGCAGCAGUAGGGAAUCUUCCGCAAUGGGCGAAAGCCUGACGGAGCAACGCCGCGUGAGUGAUGAAGGUCUUCGGAUCGUAAAACUCUGUUAUUAGGGAAGAACAUAUGUGUAAGUAACUGUGCACAUCUUGACGGUACCUAAUCAGAAAGCCACGGCUAACUACGUG